rnacentral:rRNA from 1 species
CCUACGGGAGGCAGCAGUGAGGAAUAUUGGUCAAUGGCCGUAAGGCUGAACCAGCCAAGUCGCGUGAAGGAAGAAGGAUCUAUGGUUUGUAAACUUCUUUUAUAGGGGAAUAAAGGUAUCCACGUGUGGAUAUUUGCAUGUACCCUAUGAAUAAGCAUCGGCUAACUCCGUGCCAGCAGCCGCGGUAAUACGGAGGAUGCGAGCGUUAUCCGGAUUUAUUGGGUUUAAAGGGUGCGUAGGUUGUUUUUUAAGUCAGCGGUGAAAGUUUGUGGCUCAACCAUAAAAUUGCCGUUGAAACUGGAAGACGUGAGUGUGUUUGAGGUAGGCGGAAUGCGUGGUGUAGCGGUGAAAUGCAUAGAUAUCACGAAGAACUCCGAUUGCGAAGGCAGCUUACUAAGCCAUAACUGACACUGAAGCACGAAAGCGUGGGGAUCAAACAGGAUUAGAUACCCCAGUAGUC